rnacentral:rRNA from 1 species
GAUGAACGCUGGCGGCAUGCCUAACACAUGCAAGUCGAGCGGCAGGACAAGGAGCUUGCGCCUAUGAGGUUAGCGACGGGCGGGCGAGUAACCCGUGGAUAGGCUACCUCUAAGACAGGGGUAACUUCGUAAAGCAGGCGACGCUACCGGCGAAUAUGUUGAACAGCCUGGAUCAAUGGUGCAAGAGGGUUUUGCUGUCUAUUAUAGAUGGAGCCGGGCCGCAUGAGCUAGUUGGUAAGGUAACAGCUUACCAAGGCAACGAUGCGUAGCCGACCUGAGAGGGUGGUCGGCCACACUGGAACUGCGACACGUUCCAGACUCCUACGGGAGGCAGCAGUGGGGAAUCUUCCGCAAUGGGCGCAAGCCUGACAGAGCCACGCCGCGUGAGUGAUGAAGGGCUUCGGGUCGUAAAGCGCUUUUAUUAGGGAAGAACAAAAGUAUUGGUAACCAUGGGCGUCGUGACGGUACCCGAUCAAGAAGCCACGGCUAACUUCUGG